UGCAAGUCGAACGAUGAAAGCGGGAGCUUGCUCCUGCUGGAUUAGUGGCGAACGGGUGAGUAACACGUGAGUAACCUGCCCUUGACUCUGGGAUAAGCGUUGGAAACGACGUCUAAUACCGGAUACGACCUUCGGAGGCAUCUCCUGGGGGUGGAAAGAAUUUCGGUCAAGGAUGGACUCGCGGCCUAUCAGCUAGUUGGUGAGGUAAUAGCUCACCAAGGCGACGACGGGUAGCCGGCCUGAGAGGGUGACCGGCCACACUGGGACUGAGACACGGCCCAGACUCCUACGGGAGGCAGCAGUGGGGAAUAUUGCACAAUGGGCGAAAGCCUGAUGCAGCAACGCCGCGUGAGGGACGACGGCCUUCGGGUUGUAAACCUCUUUUAGUAGGGAAGAAGCGAAAGUGACGGUACCUGCAGAAAAAGCACCGGCUAACUACGUGCCAGCAGCCGCGGUAAUACGUAGGGUGCAAGCGUUAUCCGGAAUUAUUGGGCGUAAAGAGCUCGUAGGCGGUUUGUCACGUCUGCUGUGAAAACUGGAGGCUCAACCUCCAGCCUGCAGUGGGUACGGGCAGACUAGAGUGCGGUAGGGGAGAUUGGAAUUCCUGGUGUAGCGGUGGAAUGCGCAGAUAUCAGGAGGAACACCGAUGGCGAAGGCAGAUCUCUGGGCCGUAACUGACGCUGAGGAGCGAAAGCAUGGGGAGCGAACAGGAUUAGAUACCCUGGUAGUCCAUGCCGUAAACGUUGGGAACUAGAUGUAGGGGCCAUUCCACGGCUUCUGUGUCGCAGCUAACGCAUUAAGUUCCCCGCCUGGGGAGUACGGCCGCAAGGCUAAAACUCAAAGGAAUUGACGGGGGCCCGCACAAGCGGCGGAGCAUGCGGAUUAAUUCGAUGCAACGCGAAGAACCUUACCAAGGCUUGACAUAUACCGGAAAAGUUCAGAAAUGUUCUCCCCGCAAGGUCGGUAUACAGGUGGUGCAUGGUUGUCGUCAGCUCGUGUCGUGAGAUGUUGGGUUAAGUCCCGCAACGAGCGCAACCCUCGUUCUAUGUUGCCAGCACGUAAUGGUGGGAACUCAUAGGA
rnacentral:rRNA from 1 species